GCCCGGGUGGUGAAAUCGGUAGACACAGCAGACUUAAAAUCUGCCGACCGCAUUAGGUCGUGCCGGUUCGAUUCCGGCUCCGGGCACCA
rnacentral:tRNA from 1 species